rnacentral:rRNA from 1 species
CAAGUCGAACGGUGAUCUCGGUGCUUGCACCGGGUGAUCAGUGGCGAACGGGUGAGUAACACGUGAGCAACCUGCCCCUGACUCUGGGAUAACCCCGAGAAAUCGGAGCUAAUACCGGAUACGAGACGCACGGGCAUCCGUAGCGUCUGGAAAGAAUUUUGGUCAGGGAUGGGCUCGCGGCCUAUCAGCUUGUUGGUGGGGUAACGGCCCACCAAGGCGACGACGGGUAGCCGGCCUGAGAGGGCGACCGGCCACACUGGGACUGAGACACGGCCCAGACUCCUACGGGAGGCAGCAGUGGGGAAUAUUGCACAAUGGGCGAAAGCCUGAUGCAGCGACGCCGCGUGGGGGAUGAAGGCCUUCGGGUUGUAAACCCCUUUCAGCAGGGAAGAAGCGAAAGUGACGGUACCUGCAGAAGAAGCGCCGGCUAACUACGUGCCAGCAGCCGCGGUAAUACGUAGGGCGCAAGCGUUGUCCGGAAUUAUUGGGCGUAAAGAGCUCGUAGGCGGUUUGUCGCGUCUGCUGUGAAAACCCGAGGCUCAACCUCGGGCCUGCAGUGGGUACGGGCAGACUAGAGUGCGGUAGGGGAGACUGGAAUUCCUGGUGUAGCGGUGGAAUGCGCAGAUAUCAGGAGGAACACCGAUGGCGAAGGCAGGUCUCUGGGCCGCAACUGACGCUGAGGAGCGAAAGCAUGGGGAGCGAACAGGAUUAGAUACCCUGGUAGUCCAUGCCGUAAACGUUGGGCACUAGGUGUGGGGCUCAUUCCACGAGUUCCGUGCCGCAGCAAACG